GGACGGAAAGACCCCGUAGAGCUUUACUAUAACCUGAUAUUGAAUUUUGGUAUAUUGCGUAUAGGAUAGGUGGGAGACUUUGAACCCGGAACGCCAGUUUCGGGGGAGUCAUCCUUGGAAUACCACCCUUAAUAUGCUGAGGUUCUAACUCUAUACCCUGAAUCGGGUAGGAGGACAAUGUCAGGCGGGUAGUUUGACUGGGGCGGUCGCCUCAACAGUGGGGCCCUUUAGCAGCGAUGCUAAAUGCAAAUCUGGCUAUAUGCGGGAAAAUCUGUUCCCUAAAAGGGAUGCAGAAUCCAGAGAUACUUUUAAUAGUAAAAAUGCUCUGGUGCAGACAAUCCGCAGGGAAGUUCCUAAAUGGAACCCCUCAACGACUAAACGCCAGACAUCCUUAAAGGAUGGUGAUAUAGUCUGAACUCGUAUGCGAAUACGAGCCCGUAUUAAAGGGAGUCCAGUAUUACUUCUAAUAUAUAACAUAAGAUAUCCGAAAAACUGGAUUAACAUAAUUGCCUAAAGAGUAACGGAGGCGCCCAAAGGUUCCCUCAAGCUGGUUGGAAAUCAGCUAUCGAGUGCAAAGGCAUAAGGGAGCUUGACUGCAUAGACUGACAGGUCGAACAGGCACGAAAGUGGGGCUUAAUGAUCCGGUGGUUGUGUAUGGAAACGCCAUCGCUCAACGGAUAAAAGCUACCUCGGGGAUAACAGGCUUAUCUCUCCCAAGAGUCCAUAUCGACGGGGAGGAUUGGCACCUCGAUGUCGGCUCGUCGUAUCCUGGGGCUGAACAAGGUCCCAAGGGUUUGGCUGUUCGCCAAUUAAAACGGCACGCGAGCUGGGUUCAGAACGUCGUGAGACAGUUCGGUCCUAAUCCGCUGUAAGCGCAGGAGAUUUGAGGGGGUUUCCCCGUAGUACGAGAGGACCCGGGGAAGGAAACCGCUGGUGUACCAGUUGUCCCACCAGGGGCAAGUGCUGGGUAGCUAAGUUUCUACCAGAUAAAUGCUGAAAGCAUCUAAAGCGUGAAGCUGACCUCAAGAUAAGAUCUCCCAUCCUUUCCUUCGGGAAAGGGGUAAGACCCCUUGUAGACCACGAGGUUGAUAGGCACGAGGUGUAAGCACAGCAAUGUGUUGAGCUGACGUGUACUAAUAGGUCGAGGAUUUACUACA
rnacentral:rRNA from 1 species